CCUUAUUACCAUUAGCAUGUUCAACCUGGGAGACAAAUAAUAGUGAAGUAGCGAAAUGCUAACUGUGUUUUCUUCAACAACACUGAAUUACAGACUUUUAGUGAAUCAUGAUAAACGUUUAUAGGUGAGCAUGUUACUAUUGCAUCAGAAACAUCUACACCAGCUCUGUGUGAUAAUUCAGUGGUGUGUGAACCAACACUGCGUGGAAACAGCACUAACAUGAACACACAAGAGAAAACAGGUAAGAUGUCUUAUGAUUCACAAUUAAUUAAUUAUCUUUAAUUCAUUCAAAAUAAUUUGCCUAUAAAAUAAUUUGUACUAAUAUGAAUGUAAUGUGGUAAAAUAACAGAACCAGAAAAGAUUGGAUCUCUACAUUCGACAGUGCUCGGUUUGGGAACGGCUUUGGGUUUGUGUGCACUUCUGAUUUUCUGCCUCAUUUAUUUCAUUCUGAGGAGAAGAAAAUGUGAAAACUCUAGAAAUAAUGCUUCUAUAGCAGAUUCUCCAGGAGCGAGGCAGGAAUCUGAUGCUGAAAUGCUGAAUUAUGCAGCUCUACAUUUCCCUAAGACGAAAGCCAAAGCUGAAAAAAGGAAAACUGGCUCAUCAGAUGAGUGUGUGUACUCCGAUGUGAAGAAAACUUUUAGAUAACAUAAAUGUUUCAUAACACAUGGUAUUAUUACACUGCAAAAACAGUGGAAAUAUUUUAGCAAGUGAAAAUAUCUUGACAGAAGGCAAAUGUAUUCCUUAUUUAUCAUUGUGAAAUCAAAUGAUUAUUAAACUACCAUUUUUGCUACAGAAAUUUCAAGCUUGAAAUUGUCUUAUUCGACUGACAGGAUAAUUUAUUUUUAGAAGUAAAAUUAUAAGCCAAUAGAACAAAAACAGAGAAACCUAGAUAUAAUCUUAUGUUUGUUUACAA